CAGUCGCUGCUGAAUCAGGACAAGGAUGUUGAGGAUGUGGUGGACAAGGAUGACCUGAAUACACAUAAGGAGAGCCCCGGUUUUGAUAUAGAGUUGGUACGGCAACAGCACCAGUCGGGCCCGCACAUGCCUCAAGUCAAGCACGACCCCUCCCCUGACCCCUAGCUUCUCCCAUUUGACUUCCAGCUUCAAAGGGUCAGCAUCGUUGAACAAAUUCCUCCUAUAAAAAAUUUUGAGCACAAAGAGUUUUCACACAUGGUUCUCAUCAACCACAAUUUUCGUGUCGAGUGAUCCGCACUUGAGUCUGUUUGGUUUGUUAGACCCGAGUGCCAGAGAUGGGACAACCGUUACAGACACAAGGACUUAUUGCAGCAGUUAUGGCAACAUGUACAGUCAGUUCUCAAUGUUGGACUUCACAACUAAUAUCACGAUAAAUACAAAGUUGGAUAACUCGUUCCAUUCUUUUUGGGACAAACAAUACAACUGAAAGUAACAAGAGAAAAUCAAGGAAUAUUUGUAGAGUUUUAGUCGGAAGCGUAUGCUUACCACUGGCAUACUCCUGGACAGUCGUAACUUUACGGACAGUCCCGGUUUGUCCUCACAGGUGUCCAAACUGUCCAAAGAGAACGCGCUUUUGACGCAGUUGCUAACUUAGAAAGACAGCACCUACUUUGUUUUGAACACUCAGAGCAUCCAUGGCCAUGCCUCAGGCGGGAAGUUCGACCAACAGCUGAAACAAGAUGCUAAAGGUGAACCCAUCAGGGUUUGUAACUUCCCAAUCCAAUCCUUAACAGCCUGGCAUUGAGUCGGCGCUUGAGAAGGCGUUGAAAAAUGACAGCAGUUUUGUUUUGUGGUCCAGUAUGACCUUUGGCUCUCAACCUGAUGUUAGGUAGAACUCAAACUGGGCCCUUAGCAAUAUCAGCGAGGCUAGAAUGUCAUCUCUGCAUCUUGAGCUUCAGAAAACAUUAAAAGCAAACAAGACAAACAUCAUGAAUGUUUAGGCAAUCCCAAUCCACUUAUACUACAACUCGCUCAGGAAAUUCAGCACGCCACCUUUUAACAUCUUCUCACAAGGCGCUAAAUCAACACUUCCAACAGCUGAGCCUUGGUGAGUAAAACUUUCAUCAUGACGAGUCACUCAAGAUGAAACAAUCAGUUCCACAGAUAGAGCAGACGCUGAGUGACUCGUCUGUUAACGUGACUGACCUCCAUAUGUUGCUCUCUAAUAAUGUGAACCUGGCGCCUGAGGAGCAGUAUAGUCCUACAUUCCCUGUUCUGGGUGGUGACUUUGGCGUCAAGACUCACACAAUCUCUGGCCCUGUCGCAGCAGCAACAAAAACAGGAAGUAUUUCAGCUGCACUCUGGGAAAACAGGGCUUAAUGCAUGUGCCUCAAGUGUUUUACCCACAAAAGCGUGUAAAGUCUGCCCAAGCUAAUUUGUGACCACACUUUCCGAAUAAACCUUAAAACAAAGAAUUCCAUAAAAGCUUAAAGUGUCGUGGCUGAUAAUUUUGUGCAGACUGUACAGGCAAAUCUGGAACAACUCUUUACGCUUAUGCAUUUAGCCCAGUUUUUUAAAGAGUUUAGAGUUGCAUAUUUAGUUCACGUUACAUCAGCUUUUUUCUGACCUUUCUGUAGAAAAGUUCCUAUUACUGAUCAGAAAUUUUGUGUUUUUAAAUUGGUCAAACUAACUAAAUAAAUACAUAUAAGAGUUGAUUUGACAUCAGUUUUAAUCAUAAAGGGUCAGGGCAUAUUUUCAUACAUUUUUGUGCAAAAAUUAAGCCUCUAAACCAAAAGGUUUUUGUUUUGUUUUCCACAUGUAUAUUUACAAAAUUCCCCCUGCAUAAAUUAAAGAAAAUGCUGGUUAUUUUAAAUUAAACAAUUAUUGAAAUGCAGUCAACAUUCUAUGAAAUAAUUAUCUGCAUUUAUUUUUAAAUAAGGAUAUCUAUAAAUUAAAAUUAACCACCUGUCCAUGUUUUAAGUAUACAAAUACGCGCUGGAGUAAGAAUAUGCCAGGGUUUUUUUUGGGUUGUGGGGGAAGGGGCCUUAAGCCCUUAUGUAGGGGAAAUUCUACGCGGGAUUUUCCACUUUGGGGAAAAAAUGUGCGCGUGGGAAUUUUCGCGGCAUUUCCCUUUUUGGGGGAUUUGUUUACUUACUUUCUCAUUAUUACAAUACAUGUGUACAUGUUUGAACUAUAUUCAUUGUUUUUUUCAUAAUUUAUUACGUUUGGCAAGAUUAAAUUAAAAUAGAAUUGAAAUAAUAUAAACAUG